AGUGAACGCUGGCGGUAGGCCUAACACAUGCAAGUCGAACGGCAGCACAGUAAGAGCUUGCUCUUACGGGUGGCGAGUGGCGGACGGGUGAGGAAUACAUCGGAAUCUACUUUUUCGUGGGGGAUAACGUAGGGAAACUUACGCUAAUACCGCAUACGACCUACGGGUGAAAGCAGGGGAUCUUCGGACCUUGCGCGAUUGAAUGAGCCGAUGUCGGAUUAGCUAGUUGGCGGGGUAAAGGCCCACCAAGGCGACGAUCCGUAGCUGGUCUGAGAGGAUGAUCGGCCACACUGGAACUGAGACACGGUCCAGACUCCUACGGUAGGCACCAGUGGGGAAUAUUGGACAAAGGGCGCAAGCCUGAUCCAGCCAUACCGCGUGGGUGAAGAAGGCCUUCGGGUUGUAAAGCCCUUUUGUUGGGAAAGAAAAGCAGCAGGUUAAUACCCCGCUGUUCUGACGGUACCCAAAAAAUAAGCACCGGCUAACUUCGUG
rnacentral:rRNA from 1 species